UACGGAGGGGGCUAGCGUUGUUCGGAAUUACUGGGCGUAAAGCGCACGUAGGCGGCUUUGUAAGUUAGAGGUGAAAGCCCGGAGCUCAACUCCGGAAUUGCCUUUAAGACUGCAUCGCUCGAAUCAUGGAGAGGUGAGUGGAAUUCCGAGUGUAGAGGUGAAAUUCGUAGAUAUUCGGAAGAACACCAGUGGCGAAGGCGACUCACUGGACAUGUAUUGACGCUGAGGUGCGAAAGCGUGGGGAGCAAACAGGG
rnacentral:rRNA from 1 species